rnacentral:lncRNA from 1 species
UGAUGAUGCCUCGUUCUAGUAAUUAUAAUUUUAAUUGUACUUGGUCCUAUUUUCAAUUCAACAACUAGCAAGUAUGGGACUGUAUUUCUUUUGUGUUUUUCAAGUAAUUGAAAUAGAAGUAGAACUGGUCAAAUGGAACUGGACACUAACAUGUUUCCCUUCUCCAUUUUCUGCAACUUUAGGACCAUCUUUUAUAGAAGUAGAAAUGGUCAAAUGGAACUGAACAAUGAAUGUAGCCAGUAGCGUGGACAGAAUGUGUACAAUUUGUAAAUGUCUUCCGUGGACAGAAAAUGUGUACAAUUUGGUAUAACAUUGCAG